CAGUCGCCACGGUAAUACGAAGGGGCCUAGCGUUGUUCGGAAUUACUGGGCGUAAAGCGCACGUAGGCGGAUCGAUCAGUCAGGGGUGAAAUCCCAGGGCUCAACCCUGGAACUGCCUUUGAUACUGUCGAUCUGGAGUAUGGAAGAGGUGAGUGGAAUUCCGAGUGUAGAGGUGAAAUUCGUAGAUAUUCGGAGGAACACCAGUGGCGAAGGCGGCUCACUGGUCCAUUACUGACGCUGAGGUGCGAAAGCGUGGGGAGCAAACAGGAUUAGAUACCCCCGUAGUCCCUGUCUCUUAUAC
rnacentral:rRNA from 1 species